AGUUGCAUGGUCUAAUGGUUAUGAUUUCUCGUUCACACCGAGAAGGUUCUGAGUUCGAUCCUCAGUGCAACUA
rnacentral:tRNA from 2 species